rnacentral:rRNA from 1 species
GACGAACGCUGGCGGCGUGCUUAACACAUGCAAGUCGAACGGAAAGGCCUGCUUUCCCUUGUGGAUUGCGGGUACUCGAGUGUCGAACGGGUGAGUAACACGUGAGUGAUCUGCCCCCAACUUGGGUAUAAGCCUGGGAAACUGGGUCUAAUUCCCGAUAGGACUGCAGGGUGGUGCCUGUGGUGGAAAACGAUUUUCUAGUGGUUGGGGGUGAGCUCGCGGCCUAUCAGCUUGUUGGUGGGGUAAUGGCCUACCAAGGCGGCGACGGGUAGCCGGCCUGAGAGGGUGGACGGCCACAUUGGGACUGAGAUACGGCCCAGACUCCUACGGGAGGCAGCAGUGGGGAAUAUUGCACAAUGGGCGGAAGCCUGAUGCAGCGACGCCGCGUGGGGGAUGACGGCCUUCGGGUUGUAAACUCCUUUCGACCGCGAGGAAGCCACCUGGCUGGAAGGGUGGUGACGGUAGUGGUAGAAGAAGCACCGGCUAACUACGUG